rnacentral:lncRNA from 1 species
ACCAAAAGUCAUAAGAGAAUACUCUUUGAAUACAAGUAGCGCCGACUAUGAAAGAAAUUGCAAUAGAAAUAAGGGAAAACUAAUGAAAAAAGACUUCAAAUCUUUGCAUUUUAAUAAAAAAUCAUCUACUAACUUUAUUUACUGAUAAGGACAAAAGAAUAAAAAAAUAAAAAAAACCAUAAAAAACACCACAUGCGAUGUGCGCUCAUAACCCCACCCCAUCCCCCUCCCCCUCCCC